rnacentral:rRNA from 1 species
GACGGGGGGGGCAAGUGUUCUUCGGAAUGACUGGGCGUAAAGGGUGCGUAGGCGGGUCUUUAAGUCAGGGGUGAAAUCCUGGAGCUCAACUCCAGAACUGCCUUUGAUACUGAGGAUCUUGAGUUCGGGAGAGGUGAGUGGAACUGCGAGUGUAGAGGUGAAAUUCGUAGAUAUUCGCAAGAACACCAGUGGCGAAGGCGGCUCACUGGCCCGAUACUGACGCUGAGGCACGAAAGCGUGGGGAGCAAACAGG